rnacentral:rRNA from 1 species
AUGGACUGUUUCUUGCCUGUAUUUAUAUGCGCACCCCUGCUGGAACAACUCGCUACAUGGUCUCCAAUCCAGCUACCAGUGAGUAUAUUGUGCUGCCUCACUCUGGCUAUGCUGGCAACGCUGGCAACGCUUACCUGGGUUUCGACAGGGACUGAGGGGUUUCAUGUGUUCAAGUUUGUAGAGGACUGGUCACCCCCGGACCACCGGGGUAAAGAAUCCAUGGUUGUGACACGGGUGAGGAUUUACUCUUCAAAAACUGGUGCAUGGGUAGCAAUGGAACCCAAAUGGGACAUCCAAGUUAGCUUGUGCUUUGGUCAACCUGGAGUUUUCCAUAAGGGCUGUUUGCACCUGCUCACAGAUGAGUCCGGAUUGGCGAUAGUUGAUGCAGAAGGGCUAAGAUGGAGAACCGUCCAGCUGCCAAUACUUGUUGCUAGGAGUUUCUCAGGUUUCAUCGGGAAGUCUGCCGGACAGCUACUUUAUAUCGCCUCCCUUGAUAGUCAGGGAUACGGCUCAGACAGAUCUUUGACUAUAUCGAUUUACGUUCUUAAUGUUGAGAUUUAUAACUGGGAUGUCUGUCAUCAGGAUGACAAACGCAUGUACUGGAAAUUGUACAAGUUUUCAAAUGUAAUUCCAAAGAAGAAGUUUCUCAAAGUCAUUGGAGUACACCCACAUGCCAAUCUGAUCUUCAUAGCUCACUCAAAAAACGAAAUGUUGGCAUACGAUUUGGAUCGUCAUGAAAGUCCAGUUGUAUAUCACCUUGACCAUAACUACCAUAGGUUUAUGCAAUUUUGCCCGUAUGUGCCGCUGUUGUCCUACCUACCGUUGGACGGAGCAAUACGGCUGGCAGCUCCCAAUUGA